rnacentral:lncRNA from 1 species
ACACAGAAAGUGAUACAAGGGCAUGCCUUAGGGAGAGGAGGGAGGGCUUGGGAGGAGCGGAGGAAAUCACAUGGGUGGGGAUCACACUGGGGAGGAGGCUUUGCAUGGAUCCCCAAUGAAGGGGAGCAACUUCCAAGAAUGUACCUGGUGGAGGUGCCAGCUCCUUUCCCUAAAUUACUAUCAAGGCUAAGGUGGGAACCAUGUGCUGUUUAAGCCUGUAAUUGUCAUUAUUAACCUUGUAGACAUUUAUCUUCAGGCGUCAUCUUGGUACCAGUGGAUCCCAGAGGACACACCCAGGACCAACGGUAGUGAGUUCUCUGGCAUGGCCAGCAGACCCAUGUACAGGGCAGAAAAUGGCUUCUGCCUGCACGGGACAAAGGGCUUCUGCUGGACCCCCUCCAAUACCACUGGUGACCCUGACAGGUGACCCUUCCUGAGAGGUAGACCUGAGAAUGACUUAGAGCACAGGAAUGCUCAAUUCUGCCAUCCCAGCCAAGGAUGGUUCUGGAAGGAUUGGGGUAGAGCUCUAUGCUGCAGAUGCUGCUGUACCUGACCUUCUAGGACAUGGGGCUGAGAAUCUGACUUUUAAGGAUACCUUGGUUUUGCCUGAAAUUGUGUGGGGACACAAAGGUGGAUAGUGGGAGGUGUGGGCUUGAUCUUCCCCUCACCCUACCUUCAACAUGGAGACAACUAAUAUGUUGAAGAGCUCUGCCAGAGGGGGUUAGCUUACGGUCUGGAGGGAUGUGGGAGGAGAGGGACAGCCCUGAGUGAACUUGGUUCAUUUGGCUUUGUAGCUUCCCGUUGCUCUUGAGUCCUGACCUCUUUGGAGGCUCCAAUCCAAUUCUGGGGAGACUUGGUAUCAAGAGAGCAAGAAUGAUUUGUGGUGUGGGGUGGGGUAACAGGGGGGUCUUGUAAACUUCAGGGAGAGCUUUGGCUCUGCAAACAGUGUUGGUUUGCCUUUUGCAGCUUGCUAGGGAGUAGGGAGAGGGGCCUUUGGGCAUCUUUCUAAGAGCCAGCCCUUCCUUCUCUUUCUUCCUUAUAUACAGUUGGGUCACAGGGCCUUGGCAAGUCAUUUCUCAUUUCCUCUAUAGAAGAUGGAAUGGCCAGGCCAGAAGCAGGUAUCUCUUAGAUACACACUGGUACAGAAGAGAUGAAACCCAUGUCACCCCGCUCUAGACUCUUUGCUGACAUUUUGGUGGUAGAAGUCAGAGGAGAGGCAAGGUCAAGUCAUUUCAAGAUGGGCUAGGUUCCUAAGAACAGGUCAACUACCCUUUCCUAGGGGCUUAUCCUUUCUUAGGUUGAGCUGUAUUGUGAAUUUCUUAUUGAAAAUCUUGCCUUUACCCAGUUAUCAUCCACCCAGUGGGCUCCCCGCCCACCCACACAAUGACAUAGAUGUGAAUGGGACGGUCACCACAGUAACCAAAGCCCUUCUCCUAAAGGGUCCUUACUGUAUUUUACCGAGAAAGCAUGACAGAGUUCCAGAUGUGAGCUGCCGUUCUGGGGACAGUUUCUGUGCAGUACUGGCUGAUAUCCACCUACUGAUUCCAACUUCCCUCACAGACCAGAUGCAGCAACUGUAUCUAGCUAUCUUGAGAGGCACUCCACGGGGAGCGCCCUCUCUGGUCCCAUGAGGCUGUGAGCUCAGCGGACCGAAUGCUGUCUAAGAUGUGUGAGCAGUUGCUGUAGGUUUAAGGAGCAGAGAUAGGAACUAGAGCAUGCCUUGACAAUUGUUUUCAUUGCUUCAAGCUGGAACUUUAGAAGUUGGGUAGAAAAAUCAAACGAAACAGGAAAAAUGCAGUGAGCGGGAAGCCAGUGAGGCAGAACCCACAAUUAACAAGAUUCUCUAUAAUUUGAUGGCUCCUCAGAGAAGAACAUAUCCCAGAAAAGGGCUAAUUAUACAUUUGUUUCUUCAGGCCACAAAUAGCAUUUUGACAGCUGGUUUUGGGUUGGGAAGGCCCUUGUGAGGUCAUCUCAGCCCAUCUUCUGCCUUAUCAGAAACCUCCACCAACCAAAUGAACACUGCAGUGAGGGGCAGACACUGUGAAUCCCGCUGGGCAGAAUUUGCAUAUGAAGUCAGAUCAGGCCCACAGGGAGAAAUCUGGGGUAUUUUGUUAUUUUCUCAUAUACUGAUAGAAAGGUUUACAAGUACACAGAGAAGGGAAGGAACAAGGGAUGUCAAAGAUGAAGAACCCAAGUUUUACCACACAGUCGAUAAGUGGUGAAGGUGGCUUUUUAGCCUAUCCCAACAGGUCAAGAUAUGGUAGACCAUUCCCCCUCAUAUCUGUACAAUCAUAACCUCAGCCCAGUGUGUAUCUGUGUACCUCAUGACAACAAAACCAGCCGAAAAGCAAAAAUCAAAAUGCCUGUCUCAUGUGAUCCCUGGCAUAGACGUGAAGCUUGAAUUAGUGUCAAAUACAUCUCUGUUAAAAUAACUGGCAUGUAUUCAGGGCUCAUUGAAGGGUCUGGUGUGUGUGUGUGUGUUUGUGUGUGUUUAAGGGAGAAAAUGACAUACAGAGAGAAAGGGAGAGACAGAAAGAGAGAGAAAGAAAGAGAUAUAUAUAGAGAGAAACACACACACACACACACACAGAGAGAGAGAGAGAGAGAGAGAGAGAGAACAUAUAUAUACAUAGUCACUUGGUAUCUUUGGAUCUAUGUGCUUUGUUUCUUUUAUUGUUUUGGGGGAAUCACAUUAUUGGUUUUUUUUUUGUGUGUGUAUGUGUGUGCGUGUGGUAUGGUACAGUGCAAUACCUAAGUUUGGUUCUAAAAGUGAAGCUGCCAAAGGCUGGCUAGAAUGCCCUCACGGAAAGGGUGAUAAAGACGUGGAGAGUUCCACAGGAAACGGGGUUGAAGAACUCUCUGGCCAGUGUCACGGUCCAGGAGGGUGCCAUUGUGCAUCCUGAGCCUUGGUGGGAAUCGACCUUUUUGUCCUAGGGUUUGUGGGUACAUUUGCAUGACAGGUCCAACACAGAGAGCAGGCCUUUAGCGGAACCCUGCACCAGAAGAGGCAACACCAGCGAUCCCUGCCCAACUCCAGAGUCAUCUGCACUCCUGUGUGUGUCCUGUAUUCAUCGUCGCUGCCUGCUCUGCCUUCGGGAGAGAGCACCUUCACAAAUGGCCUUAGAACACAACAACCAUCAAGCGAAUAUCAGAUGUAUUUAUUAUGUAGCUUAACCUGAAAAAACUGAACAAACAUACCUGUAUCACCAAUGUUUACACAUCUUAGCUGUCUAGCUCAUGUAUAAUAUGUACCUCAUGCAGGGACUACAUCUUUUUUUUUUUUUUUUUUAAUUUUCUUUUUGUAACAAAUUCAGUAAACAAGCUGUAUAUAUUUUACAUGUCUUUAGAGGAAAAUCACCUGCUAUCAUAGCAUUGUAAACUAUCGCACUUUUCUAUUUUUUUUUUUUUUUUAAUUAAAGUCUCUGGCAUGUUCCCACUGUGUUCUGGCUUUCUUUCCUUAAGCAGCUGAC